GAUGAACGCUGGCGGCGUGCCUAAUACAUGCAAGUCGAGCGAACAGACGAGAAGCUUGCUUCCCUGAUGUUAGCGGCGAACGGGUGAGUAACACGUGGGUAACCUACCUAUAAGACUGGGAUAACUCCGGGAAACCGGGGCUAAUACCGGAUAAUAUUUUGAACCGCAUGGUUCGAUAGUGAAAGACGGUUUCGGCUGUCACUUAUAGAUGGACCCGCGCCGUAUUAGCUAGUUGGUAAGGUAACGGCUUACCAAGGCGACGAUACGUAGCCGACCUGAGAGGGUGAUCGGCCACACUGGAACUGAGACACGGUCCAGACUCCUACGGGAGGCAGCAGUAGGGAAUCUUCCGCAAUGGGCGAAAGCCUGACGGAGCAACGCCGCGUGCGUGAUGAAGGUCUUCGGAUCGUAAAACUCUGUUGUUAGGGAAGAACAAAUUUGUUAGUAACUGAACAAGUCUUGACGGUACCUAACCAGAAAGCCACGGCUAACUACGUGCCAGCCGCCGCCGUAA
rnacentral:rRNA from 1 species